rnacentral:rRNA from 1 species
UGACCUCAAAUCAGGUAGGACUACCCGCUGAACUUAAGCAUAUCAAUAAGCGGAGGAAAAGAAACUAACAAGGAUUCCCCUAGUAACUGCGAGUGAAGCGGGAAAAGCUCAAAUUUAAAAUCUGACAGUCUUUGGCUGUCCGAGUUGUAAUCUAGAGAAGUGUUAUCCGCGCUGGACCGUGUACAAGUCUCCUGGAAUGGAGCGUCAUAGAGGGUGAGAAUCCCGUCUUUGACACGGACUACCAGGGCUUUGUGAUGCGCUCUCAAAGAGUCGAGUUGUUUGGGAAUGCAGCUCAAAAUGGGUGGUAAAUUCCAUCUAAAGCUAAAUAUUGGCGAGAGACCGAUAGCGAACAAGUACCGUGAGGGAAAGAUGAAAAGAACUUUGGAAAGAGAGUUAAACAGUACGUGAAAUUGCUGAAAGGGAAACGCUUGAAGUCAGUCGCGUUGUCCAGGGAUCAACCUUGCUUUUGCUUGGUGCACUUUCUGGUUGACGGGUCAGCAUCAAUUUUGACCAUUGGAAAAAGAUUAAGGGAAUGUGGCAUCUUUGGAUGUGUUAUAGCCCUUGGUUGCAUACGAUGGUUGGGAUUGAGGAACUCAGCACGCCGCAAGGCCGGGUUUUUAACCACGUACGUGCUUAGGAUG